AUUGAACGCUGGCGGCAGGCCUAACACAUGCAAGUCGAGCGGAUGAAGGGAGCUUGCUCCUGGAUUCAGCGGCGGACGGGUGAGUAAUGCCUAGGAAUCUGCCUGGUAGUGGGGGAUAACGUCCGGAAACGGGCACUAAUACCGCAUACGUCCUGAGGGAGAAAGUGGGGGAUCUUCGGACCUCACGCUAUCAGAUGAGCCUAGGUCGGAUUAGCUAGUUGGUGGGGUAAAGGCCUACCAAGGCGACGAUCCGUAACUGGUCUGAGAGGAUGAUCAGUCACACUGGAACUGAGACACGGUCCAGACUCCUACGGGAGGCAGCAGUGGGGAAUAUUGGACAAUGGGCGAAAGCCUGAUCCAGCCAUGCCGCGUGUGUGAAGAAGGUCUUCGGAUUGUAAAGCACUUUAAGUUGGGAGGAAGAGCAGUAAGUUAAUACCUUGCUGUUUUGACGUUACCAACAGAAUAAGCACCGGCUAACUUCGUG
rnacentral:rRNA from 1 species